GACGAACGCUGGCGGCGUGCUUAACACAUGCAAGUCGAACGGAAAGGCCCUGCUUGCGGGGUGUUCGCGUGGGGCAAGCGGGAGUAAAACGCGGGUGUACCGUCCUCCACAUCGUGGGAUACCUUCAGAAAAGGGGGUAUUACAGGAGAUAACAUUUCCUGUUGCGUGGGGGGGGGUGGAAUUUUUCGGCGGUUGGGGAUGGACCCGCGGCUUAUCAGGUUGUUGGUGGGGUGGUGGCCUACCAAGGCUUUGGCGGGUAGCCGGCCUGAGAGGGUGGACGGCCACAUUGGGACUGAGAUACGGCCCAGACUCCUACGGGAGGCAGCAGUGGGGAAUAUUGCACAAUGGGCGGAAGCCUGAUGCAGCAACGCCGCGUGGGGGAUGACGGCCUUCGGGUUGUAAACCGCUUUCGACUGGGACGAAGCGUCAGUGACGGUACUGGGAGAAGAAGCACCGGCUAACUACGUG
rnacentral:rRNA from 1 species